rnacentral:rRNA from 2 species
AAAUUGAAGAGUUUGAUCAUGGCUCAGAUUGAACGCUGGCGGCAGGCCUAACACAUGCAAGUCGAACGGUAACAGGAAGCAGCUUGCUGCUUUGCUGACGAGUGGCGGACGGGUGAGUAAUGUCUGGGAAACUGCCUGAUGGAGGGGGAUAACUACUGGAAACGGUGGCUAAUACCGCAUAACGUCGCAAGACCAAAGAGGGGGACCUUCGGGCCUCUUGCCAUCAGAUGUGCCCAGAUGGGAUUAGCUAGUUGGUGAGGUAACGGCUCACCAAGGCGACGA